rnacentral:tRNA from 2 species
GGUGGGAUGGCCGAGCGGUUGAAGGCACCUGCCUUGAAAGCAGGCGAAGGCUUACGUCUUCCCGGGGUUCGAAUCCCCGUCCCACCG